GUCCCCUUGUUCACUUUCCUUCACCCUCUCGCAGCGAAACCCUCCCAGCAGUUUGGUCUCUUCUCGCUUUGAAUUACUCGAAUCUGCGCUUACAUACAUGACGCCGUGACAUCUCUGUGCCGCAUACCAACAAUGUGAGAGCGAAGAGCUGCGGACAAUAGGGAUGAAGAUUGAUAAGAAGUUGAUGGCGCAUUGAACAGCAUAUCACAAUUGUAUCCUGGCUAGGCUUAUGUGCAAUCGAAUUGCGAGAUAGGAGCUGAUCUGAAUGAUUUUAAGGACAGAAGUCUUCUAUAACCUGGAAUAUGGUAAUACAGAACUUUAGUCGAAGAUUACAUUACACUUGCAAUGCUCUUGAUUGAGCUAUCCGAAGAACUUCAUACUCAGAUUUGGUAACCUCCCAACAAACUUCACCAGACUUAUUAUCAGAGUCAACGCAUCAGCUGCCUCGAGAUAAGAAAUUUCUCCAGUAUCAUCGAUCAAUCACAACAAGAAGGAUGACAUAGGAACGACUGCAGGAAUCUCUGUUGUAAGAGCUAAGUGUCACGAAUAUCUGAGAAAAGUAGCAAAAAACAGCACUUUCACCUUUGAAGAGGAAUACCUGAAGCAUAACUGCGGUUGUCCGAACCAACCAACGAGUGCAAGCUUCCAUUCACUUGUAAUACGUUUUGGAAGGCCACGUCUUUCACCAUCGACAACAAGUCCAAUUUGGAAUGACACUUAUCAGAUAACGUCGUCCUGGGCAAGCAUGUGAUAGACAGAAGAACGGGAAAGGCGAUCCUGGAUACUAGUUUUUUUUUUUUUUUUUUUUUUUUUUUUUUCCUUUCUUCUUGUGUUUUUUUCCGCUUCUAUCUCACCAUCUUCUAUUUCAUGCAGUUGGUCACCCAAGCCGGGUGAAUCCUUUGUUAUAUUUUUUUAGCUUACUUCUGAUACUGAUGUUGAGUAGAUAUUGUAAGCCCUGUGUGUGUAUAGUGCUGAAUACAGUAAGGUACACCAUAGUAGGUUCAUUAUUGGGUCACCUCGGAUUUGCUUGAACUAGUCUCUUGCAUUCAUUGGUGAAUUUUGGAUUUUGAGGUAGAAAUCCUCGUGUUGGAGCCUCUCCAUCUUAGCUUCCCGACGACCCCAGAAUCAGUCAAAUUGGAAUUAGAACGAAAAUUUUUGGCAAUAAUUCAAGUGGUCAACUGCCCCUUCGCUCCUUGGAUUAUCCAACCAACUUAUGAGAGAAGCAAUGAUCAAUUGUCAAAUAUUGGAUUGCUACAAAUACUAGUGAUGUUAAACUCCAGCAACAAGCGAAGGAUUGUUCCAGCAGUUGGUGUCGUAGUCUAAGGGAUGAGGAUUGGCAAGAAGAUGACGGUGCAUUGAACAGCAUAUCACAAUUGUAUCUUGGGUGCCGUCGAAUUGUGAGAUAGGAGUUGAUUUGAAUGAUUUAAAGGACGAGAGAGUUCUUCAUGUUGGAAUAUGGUUUUGUGGCAAUCAAAGAAUAUUUCAAAAAUCUAUGGUUGCAUGAGUAAACAAAGGAGUGUACUCAAGAAUCAAUUGUUAGUUUUAUUUUGAGGUUUUAUUCAUGUGAUGAAGAUGAAUUAUACAUAUUAUUCAAAUAUUUUCCAUGGGCUAUCUUGUAAAGAUGUUUAUGAAGCAUGUCUUAAUAAUGUGGAGGUUUUUAUUUAGUUGUUGUACAUUGGGAUUUGCACUUGCUAUGGAAUUUUGUAACAAGUUUGUGGAGGAUAUUGGAGUUGCAUUCAAAGCAAGAGAAGUUAGAUAUUGGAGAUAUGCUUACUCAAUUCCAUGAUUACAAUCAAGAAAUGGAGGUAUUAUUGAAGAGUAAAGUUGUAUUGAAUAAAAAACAAUGUACAAAUAUUUGCAAACCACUUGGCCAUGUUAUCAAAGUAUUUGAAGGCUUGAGAGCUUGUAGCAAUAAAAGAAGUAAGUAUAAAAUUUUAUUUUACGAAUUUUAAUAUACAACAUUGAGGAUAUACAAGUUGAUAAAAGCUUGUGCACAAGAACGAUAGUGUGAAGCAAGUAUCUUUCAACUGGAAAACAAAGAAAUAUUUAGAGAGUUAUUAUGGGACUUGAAGUCUUGUUAUGACAUGGAAAUCCAUCUACUAUCAAAGGAGUGUCGAAAAAAGAUGGAGGAUAUUACACUUGUAUUGUUUGAUGUUUCAACUUAGAAAGAAGUGAAACAUGAUGGUGAAGAACUUCACAAAAGAUUGGACCAUAAAAGUAAAGAUGUUCAAUUUAAAGAUCAUGGCUUGGCAAACUAUUUAUCAACAAGAUUGGAGAACUUGUGGCAAGUAGAAGGUGGAAAAAUAGAUUCUUUGGAAGUAUCAAGUGAUAUCAAAAGUUUAGAGCUUGGAAAAAUUAUAAAUAAGGGUUCAUUUAGAAAAGUUUAUAACUCGAAGUGGUAUGGACUUGCAACUGCAACAAAAAUAAUGGAUGUUGGUUGGAAUAAUAUGUUCAUGAAAGAAGUGGGUAUCUUAGCUAGCACAAGCCAUCCAAACUUGAUCAAAUAUUAUUAUGCUACCAAAAGUAAUACAAAUGAGAAUGGAGAGUCUUCAAAGAUGAAUAAUUCAAAGGAAAAAGUAUACUUGGUGAUGGAAUUGAUGCAAACAAAUUUGAGCAACAUAUUGGAGGCAAAAAGAGCAAUGCCAUACUACUUUCUUAUUGAUGUUAUUUAUCAAAUUGCAAGAGGAAUGUGUUAUUUACAUGACAUGUAAAUUGUACAUCGAGGUUUAAAGCCAGAUAAUGUACUACUUAAUGUUAUAAGUGAUGGUAAAUCUAGUAAUGGUUUUUAUUAUGUUGUUGUGAAGUUGAUUGAUUUUGAUUGUUCAAAGAUCAAUAUGGAUAGGAAUCCAAAAAUUAAAGAAAAUAUAUAUAUAUAUAUAUAUAUAUAUAUAUAUGGGACUUUAAGAUACACAACUCUAGAGAUAUUAAAAAGUAUAAUGGAAUCAACAAAGAUGUGUGCUUUUAAAGCAGAUUUAUAUUCUUUUGCAAUGAUAUGUUCUAAGAUUCUUUCAGGUGAAGAUCCAUUUGAUGGCAUUGAUACUACAAAAGAAUUAUUGAAAAAGAUUGAAAAAGGUGAAAGACCAAAGUUACCUUCAAAUUGUGAAGAUUUAAGUAAAUUGAUUGAAAAAUGUUGGACUUUGAAUCCUUCCAAAAGACCUAGUUUUGCAAACAUUUGCAAGAGACUCACAACAUUGAAGCAAAAAUACUUGGUGGAAGUUGAUGUAGCCAAAACACCUCAUUUUGGAGCAUUCAAGAAAGAACAAGAAAGAAGUAAAUCAAAAGAUUUACAUGUUAAUGAUACAUUGGUAAAUUUUAUAGUUGAAAUUUGGUGUGAUAUAUAUGUUGCAUUGGUUUGUUUGAUUUCAAGAUGUACACAUUCAAAUAUGUGUAUUUUAAUGAUGUUUUGUCUAAAUAUGAAUAUGUGGUUAGAUUAUUAUUUUAGAAAUUCUGAUGUAAAUUAUAUAUUUUGUUAACAUUAUGAUUUGAUUAUUUAAAUAGGGACAUGAUUAUGAAGACAAUUUAAUGGGUAUAGAACAAUGUUUGUCAAACAUCAAACAUCUAUGCAUGAAUGGAAUAAAUGCAUUGUGUUUUGUUGGUAUAGAUGGAAUUGGAAAGACUACGUUAGAAAAGACUACAUUUGAUA